rnacentral:ncRNA from 2 species
GUAGAUUGAUCGAGUUCAGGUGUCUGGGAAGCCGGUUAGAAUCCGGCGCGGACCCGCCACUGUGUACCUGACGCUUCGAGAUACCACUGGGGAAACCCGGGAAGGCUCGAAAGCGGAUGAGGGAAGCCAGGAUACCGGCCUGAAUUUGAAGAUCCAU